AUGAACGCUGGCGGCGUGCCUAACACAUGCAAGUCGAGCGAUUCUCUUCGGAGAAGAGCGGCGGACGGGUGAGUAACGCGUGGGUAACCUGCCCUGUACACACGGAUAACAUACCGAAAGGUAUGCUAAUACGGGAUAAUAUAUAAGAGUCGCAUGACUUUUAUAUCAAAGAUUUUUCGGUACAGGAUGGACCCGCGUCUGAUUAGCUUGUUGGCGGGGUAACGGCCCACCAAGGCGACGAUCAGUAGCCGACCUGAGAGGGUGAUCGGCCACAUUGGAACUGAGACACGGUCCAAACUCCUACGGGAGGCAGCAGUGGGGAAUAUUGCACAAUGGGCGCAAGCCUGAUGCAGCAACGCCGCGUGAGCGAUGAAGGCCUUCGGGUCGUAAAGCUCUGUCCUCAAGGAAGAUAAUGACGGU
rnacentral:rRNA from 1 species